CGCAACCCAAUCUGCUACACCAUUAGCCUCCCGUCUACAGUGUCGAAGGUGGAGAUUAGGGUAAAGGGACAAUAAACCGUCGACUUUAGCGAACAGGGCUCUUUCUUCCCACGGUGGCGAUCUCCAUUUUGUGACGAUUUCAAUCAUUCGGAGGCAAUCUGAUUCGAUCAGCAUAUGCUCUUUGUGAAGCCCUUGGUGCAGUAGAUGAUGAAGUGUCGAGAUAAGCGCUUGAAUCUCUGCUUGAAAAGCUGAAGUAGCUAGGAAUCUUCGUGUAAAAACAUCGGAGGUCUCCACAACUGAGCAGGGCUGAGGACAAUUAGAUCUGAUCGGUGAAGAUUGGGGUCGGAGAUUUGAUGGAUCCGGGUCUGUGUGAUGGCGUCCUCCACUGCAAGGCUUGGAUUUGGUCACUGACGGCGGAAUAUGUAGCUAUUGCGCAUACACCAUAUCUGCCAUAACACAUUGGCUAUCGUUUCCAAUCCAGGUUCUGAAGGGAGGUGCAAAUUUCUUGGUCUCGGCAUGGGGUUUGCGUUACCAUCAACUAGUGGGGGCUUGAAAGGAACAAUCGGUAGCAAAGUAG